UAACACAGUCCCCAUCUUAGUGAAGAGCAGUCAGCAGUGAGAGAAUCACCAGAAGAGAGAAAAACUUGAGUUGAAGACGACCUCACCUACCCACUAAUCCCCUCAAAACCGAUAACCAAAACUCCUACUAAAAAAAAGAAGCAAAAUCACACAAGCCCAUCAAAAAACCCCCAUAUCGAUCUCUAUUUAAGUUGUCACUUUCAUUCAAAUAGUCUUCUUUUCUUGAAUACCCAGUUUCUGUUUUUGCUCAAAAUGGAGAGUUUUUUUGACAAAAUACGAGUUCAAGGAUUGUGGGUUUGUGUAGGUUUUCCAUAAGGGUCUUCCUUUUUCUUUUUUCUUGAAGAGGCAGGCGGCACUGCAGCAGGGGCAGGCGGCAGCAGCAGGCGGCAUGCGGUAGUAAGUUUCAUCCUAGGGGGUCAUAUGCCCCCCCUCGACCCCCCUGGUUCCUCCUCUGGUUGGUCAUGUAUCUCGUUUUCAAUUUACUAUAUAGUUGACUACUUUCAGAAAAGUAAUUGGGCUGAUAUUAGGAUUCAGAUAAUACUGUUCUAAGAUCAGUUUAGUGGAGUUUUGUCUAGUGUUCUGUAUUUUGGUAGCAUUGGAGGAACUUGUUUUCAAAUUUUGGAAUUUCUUAAUUUUUGGAUGCUUUCUCAUUGUUAUAGGGUAACACGUCAGUUAAUUUUAGGCCACAUAUUAGAUUGGUUGUUUGAUUCUGUCAAACCAAAGCAAUUUUUUUUUCUUAUUUCUUACUGAUAAUUAGUAUUUAGAACACGUGCUUGAAGAGUGAUAUCUUUGUUUAUUAUAUUUUUCAUUUUGCUCAUAUCCAUUUUUGAUGGGAAUUUUUAUAGAUUAUUUAAUACUUGACAUUUUGAUGAAUGUUUAGGAAACAUAUGGAUAUUAAUCCCGGACCUGCUAAUCCUAUUGUGUUAUGGGACCACGAAAAUCACGUAUCAUCAGACUUAUGGCAAAAUAUUGUAAGUUUAUUAAUGUAUAACAAAUUUCAUUUUCUUAAACAUUUGUUACAAACAUUCAUGUUGUGACGAUUUAUGUUUUUAUGUUGUUGGACGUGUAGGAUAGGGGUGUGUUAGAAAUUUGUCAAAUGUCUGCAAAAUUAACUGAAUGAAACUUGACUGAACAACAAGAAUAUUUGCUGGAACAAUUAGGUUUUGGUAUAUUUUGUCAUCAAGCUAUAGUGUCAAAGAUUGAUGUAUCUCUUGUAUCUGCUCUAGUUGAACGUUGGAGAAGUGAAACAAAUAUGUUUCACUUAAAUUGUGGAGAGAUUAGCAUUUCUUUAGAGGAUGUGGGAUUUUUAUUUGGGUUGCCCGUAUUAGGAAAACCUUUGACUUGCGGAGAAUUAGAAAAUUCCAAAAGCUAUUUUAUAAGGGUUUUUGGGCAAUAAGUUGUAGUAGAUGAUCAGUGGGAACAAUGCUAUAAAAGGGGGGGCAUAAUUUUGCCCUGGUUAAGACAGAGAUAUGGUCAAUUACCUUGUGAUGCUACUCCAGAUGAUGUCGUAAAACACACUAAAGCAUAUCUGUUGUACUUGCGUGGCACUAUUUUGUUUUCAACCAAGAGUAAAAAUAUUGCGCAUCCUAGAUAUUUGUUGUUACUGGAAAGAUUGGAAGAUGUAGUUACAUAUGCUUGGGGGCGGCAGUUUUAGGGCAUUUGUAUAUGGGUUUGCAUGAGGCUACUCGCAAAAAAAUGAAAAAAUUGUGCAACCCUUCUUAUGAUGUGGGCUCCUGAACGGUUCAACAUUGGUCGUCCUACCCCUAAGCCUAUGUCCCAGAAGUUGAUACCUAGGGCAUUAUCCUGGGCAUACUCCUCUUUUGAUCCUAAUUCAAAACAAUAUCAGCGCCUUAAAAAUUGACAUCACCAUCUUCUGUUUUACCGAGGAGAGUUUGAUAAUAUGUUGGAAACAGAUGGGGUGUGGCGUCCAUAUCAGUUAUUUGAUAGACGUUUGUCUUGUGAUUUUUUUGAGGCAAGGUUAGGUGGAGCCGCUCGUAUACCAUUGAUACAUUACGACAUUGUUGAGUUCCAAAUGCCUGACAGAUUUAUGAGGCAAUUUGGAUAUUUGCAGUUGUAUCCAUCUAAUAAUGAAAAUAUGGUGGAAUUGCGGAAGGAACAUAAAUUAUUUGAGAGAAUACAUUUUGAAAACCAUAGGGCCAACUAUACUAAAUUGUGGGAUGCAUACAUGGAGAGUUUAGGAGGACAAGUGUUGUAGGCUUUGCAGCAUAUAUCUACCGAGGAUUAUAUGAUAUGGUACAGAGAAAUUACUCGGAGACGGAUACACCAUCCUCGACCCUUUAGGCGUCAAGGAGACGAUUAUGAGCCACGGGUAUUCAUUGACCAAUAUGUGGCCGCAAACACUGUAAGUUAUUCAAUUUAUAAUAUUUAGUAAUGUUUUUGUGUUUUUAACUGAUUAUCUUGUUUUAUUAAUAUAAUUUUUUUAUUCAAUUGUAGAUUGAGAGUGCAAAAUCCAUAUUUGAAAAGUUGUUGUCAAUUGGACAUCCACCUGAGUUAAGAACCAUGUAUGACACAUGGUUCAAUACAUUAUACCAGCCGUUCAUGAUUGACUAUAGAGGGGUUCCAAUCAAUCCAAAUCCAACGCAACCUCAAGUUGGGCAAAUGGAGAUUGACAUGACAGGAUCCCAACCUACAGUUCAAGAGAGUACUCAGCCUAGCGUUGGCUCUUCUACUCAACAUAGUAAGAAAGUGCCAGCUAGAAGGAUGGAGGGAACAAAGCACACUCACUUUUUCAAGUACUUAAAGAUGGAAAAAAUCAAUUGGCUAAAUUAUCAUUGGUUUAGUCCAACUCACGACCCAUCAGACUUUCCUCAUAGCCAUCCAGAAGGUCUAUACAAGUUUAAAUUUAAAGAUGUUAACUGUUUGAGACCCAUGAUUGGUUAUGGGAACAUGUCUUGGAUGCUUAUUUGUUGUUGUUGCGAGACAGAUAAGCUAAAAUGUGUAAAGAAGGUAUCCAAAGAUGGGCUCGAUUUUAUUUCAUGCCAACGUACUUUGCAUUGUUAGGUACCCAAAACUUACCAAGUGUCGGAGUAGACAUGCCAACCAUACGAAAAUUUCUAAGAAGUUACAUCAAUCCUACAGUUGGUGCCCCAGUACAUGAGUGUGAUUACAUAUUCGUUCCAGUCUUCAACGAAACCAACAGUCAUUUUUGCUUAUUUAUUUGGAGUGUCAACAAGUGGAAAGUAAUGCUACUUGACCCACUUUAUGAUGACAAACCAUUAAUGCCUUUGUCACAAUUAUACCAAAACUUCUUUGCGGUUGUGGUGAGUUCAUUAAUAUAUUUCUUGUUUUUCAUGUCAUUACACAGACAUGUAAUUCCUACUACUUUGGACUUAUAAGUAAUGGGUUUCUGGUUUAUAGGUGGAGUUAAUUCCUUUGCUGCUUCGUCAGGCAAAUCCUACAGCAAAGUAGCCAAAAUCGAAGCCGAAAGUUGAAGUCUGUGUGAAUAGACCGAGACAAUGGAACGAAGACGAUUGUGGCAUAUAUGUUGCAAAGUACGUGGAUUUCUUUUUGUACCGUAUAAACAUCAUGGAGGAGCCGAGGUGGACUCUUAACGAGGCUUAUAAUUUUAGAUUUAGAAUAGCACAUGAGCUUAGGAUGUGCAAAGCUAGGGAGAUUCCUGAAAAAUAUAUUUGUAACGAACAAACUUUAGAUUCGGAUUCAAAUGAAGACUAGUGAAUGUAUAUUUUGACUAACUUUUGUAAUACGUUUGAUUCAAUGUCAUAAUAAUUUUGUGGUUAUUAUAAUUUUCUUGGGAGACUAGAGCAUUCCUGUAUCAUAUUUUUUUGGUUAGUUAUUUCUUUUAUAACUUAAUUUCUGAUUAUUUUAGUAAAUUUAAUAGUAUUAGCUCUUUUUUUAUGUGGACAUGUCAUUUCCUUUUAGUGUACCCAUUAACUAAUUUAAUUGGAGUGUAUGUACAUGUCUGUAUGCAGUCAAUACUAAUAUGCAUCCCUCUCCUGGCACCUUUUUAUUUCUUCUGAUAAUUAUCUCUCUACCAUCUCUUAGUAGAUUUUAUAAUAUUUUAUUAAUUACGUGAUGAAGAGGCAAAAUAUGGCACAUAUCUAGUAGUCUUUUUCAAUGCACACAAACAUUAUACAUGGUUUUGGCUUUGCAGGUGCAGGAACAUAAUCACCCCCAUAUUCUUCUCCUGCAAAUUGGAGAGAAUGGUAUAAUGCUUUACUUAUGGGGUUCUCAUUAAAUUUAAUGGUCUGUACUUUCUGAGGGCAGUUCAUUCUUUUUUUUAAAAAAGAUUAUUAAUAGCCAUGCUUUUCUCUUGAUGCUUAAGAAAUUGAGGGCUUGAAUCAUCCAGUGUGUAAUAUUCUCUAAAAUGUGUAACGAAGUCCAGGUGCGGUGAGCAAAACAUCAGUUGUCUGUCCAGGUCCUAUCAUGAUAACUCUGCUAGCGAAUGGCUUGGUGUAAAUAGCAUCAGUUGCAACAACAGUUAGUUUGUGGUUGGUCCAGGGGAGUUGAUUUGAAGGAUGCGUGCUAACUAACCUGUAUGUAAUAAUGAGGGAUUUUAUGCAUGUUAUCUAACAAAAGAGGCUUCCUGAUGUGGAUGUUCAGUGUCAAUAUAUAAUCAAUCAUAGCUUACUCGGUUGAUAUUUUAAUACUACUUAGUAGUAACAGUUAGAAACCUUGUGCAUGAAUAAUUGAUAAUUUUAUGGAGCAUAACUUGCCAAUAAUUGAUUAUAUCUUCCAUGUUUGUUAUCUCUUUUUAAAGUUGGAUAUGGUUGUAGGAGAAGAGACAGAGACGAGCGGCAUAGACAUAGGUCUGACUCUCACCCUAUGGGCAGAUCUGAACAUAGAUCAAAGUCAAGAUCUCGUUCGUUCACGCUCAAAAAGGUUGGUUUUCCUUUUAUUUGGAAAUAGAUCUAGUUUGUGAUUUCAUGUGUAUAUUUGAGGAACUAUUAACUGUAUUAUUUCAAGUUAAUCUGAUACUAUUGCUGCAAUUCUGACAACAAUUUGAAGCUCUGAACACGUGGGUUGCUAUUAUAGACUCUUUAUUAAGCUUGUUAUUAUGAAUUAUGCGAGUGAACUUGCAAGAGCCGGUUGGGUGUUAUAUGUAUAUGGGUUCUGGUGGUAAAGGAGUUUCAAGACAGUGACAGAUAACAUAUUCAGGUCCAUCUGCCCAUGCGGUUCGCAACUGACGAAUCCCAUGCCUGAAGAAUAAUAACUAAUUGAAUUUUUUUUGCAAAAUAUGUUCUCUAAAAAUAUGAUAAUAAAUCUGAUACUAUGAAUUGGCCUUAAAAAACUAAUUGAAUUUUUUUUGCAGUGCAACCUGGCUUAUGUUACCAAGCAGUAAACCUACAGGUUCUUCCCACUUAUCAACUUUAAGGACUGGAUUUUGACAGCAUUAUGUAACUGAUGUCAUUGCGCAAGUUUCGGAAUUCAAGUGCUAAUUGCUUGUUUAGUCAGUUACAUUGUUUGUAGAUUAUAUAAUUGUUUCAGAUAUAGGUGAGCUUAUAAAUUUUGUAGGGGUUGAAAAAUUGGUGCAACUCAUGCAACCUAACAGUGUGAAUUUCAAUAUUAGAUUUGGCUUGUCAAAUUAUGCUUGCCAUGGAUCAUUGUAACACUUCCACAAAUUCUUUUUGUAAUAUUACAUAUUAAUAUAUUCGAUUUAAUUUUU
rnacentral:lncRNA from 1 species